AAUGAACGUUGGCGGCGUGGAUUAGGCAUGCAAGUCGAGCGAGAACCCCGCAAGGGGGGACAGCGGCGAAAGGGACAGUAAUGUGUAGAUUAUCUGCCCUCAGGUCCGGGAUAGCUGCGGGAAACUGCAGGUAAUACCGGAUAACAUCUCCGGAUCAAAGGUGUGAUUCCGCCUGAGGAUGAGUCUGCAUCCUAUUAGCUAGUUGGUGGGGUAAUGGCCUACCAAGGCAUUGAUGGGUAGCAGGUGUGAGAGCACGACCUGCGUCAUUGGGACUGAGACACUGCCCAGACACCUACGGGUGGCUGCAGUCGAGAAUCUUCGGCAAUGGGCACAAGCCUGACCGAGCGACGCCGCGUGCGGGAUGAAGGCCUUCGGGUUGUAAACCACUGUCAGAGGGGAUGAAAUGCAGGUGGGUUCUCCCAUCUGUUUGACAUAGCCUCAGGGGAAGGACGGGCUAAGUUCGUG
rnacentral:rRNA from 1 species